rnacentral:rRNA from 1 species
UGGCUCAGAACGAACGCUGGCGGCAGGCUUAACACAUGCAAGUUGAACGGGAUUUGUAUGGUGCUUGCACUAGACAAUGAGAGUAGCGCACUGGUGAGUAACACGUGGGAACGUGCCUUGAAGUGGGGGACAACAGUUGGAAACGACUGCUAAUACCGCAUACGCCCUGAGGGGGAAAGAUUUAUCGCUUCAAGAUCGGCCCGCGGAAGAUUAGGCAGUUGGUGGGGUAAAAGGCCUACCAAACCUACGAUCUAUAGCUGGUCUGAGAGGACGAUCAGCCACAUUGGAACUGAGACACGGUCCAGACUCCUACGGGAGGCAGCAGUGAGGAAUAUUGGGCAAUGGAGGGAACUCUGACCCAGCCCAUGCCGCGUGAGUGAGAAGGUCUUCGGAUUGUAAAGCUCUUUCGGAUGGGACGAUGAUGACGGUACCAUCUAAAGAAGCCCCGGCAAACUUCGUGCCAGCCGCUGC